rnacentral:rRNA from 1 species
CACGUAGGCGGUGAAUCGGGUUGAAAGUGAAAGUCGCCAAAAAGUGGCGGAAUGCUCUCGAAACCAAUUCACUUGAGUGAGACAGAGGAGAGUGGAAUUUCGUGUGUAGGGGUGAAAUCCGUAGAUCUACGAAGGAACGCCAAAAGCGAAGGCAGCUCUCUGGGUCCCUACCGACGCUGGGGUGCGAAAGCAUGGGGAAGCGAACAG